rnacentral:rRNA from 1 species
GAUGAACGCUAGCGGCAGGCUUAACACAUGCAAGUCGAGGGGCAGCAUAUUUUGUAGUAAUACAAGAUGAUGGCGACCGGCGCACGGGUGCGUAACGCGUAUGAAACCUACCAUAUACAGGGGGAUAAACUUUCGAAAGGGAGCCUAAUACCCCAUAGUAUUAUUUUUAGGCAUCUGAGAAUAAUUAAAGAUUAAUUGGUAUAUGAUGGGCAUGCGUGUCAUUAGCUAGUUGGUAAGGUAACGGCUUACCAAGGCGACGAUGACUAGGGGUUCUGAGAGGAAGAUCCCCCACACUGGUACUGAGACACGGACCAGACUCCUACGGGAGGCAGCAGUGAGGAAUAUUGGUCAAUGGGCGAGAGCCUGAACCAGCCAUGCCGCGUGCAGGAAGACGGCCCUAUGGGUUGUAAACUGCUUUUAUGUGAGGAUAAACCUAUUCUUGCGAGAGUAGCUGAAGGUAUCACAUGAAUAAGGAUCGGCUAACUCCGUGCCAGCCGCCGCUGUAA